rnacentral:rRNA from 1 species
UACGUAGGUGGCAAGCGUUGUCCGGAUUUACUGGGUGUAAAGGGCGUGUAGCCGGGUUGACAAGUCAGAUGUGAAAUCCUGCGGCUUAACCGCAGAGCUGCAUUUGAAACUGUUGAUCUUGAGUACUGGAGAGGCAGACGGAAUUCCUAGUGUAGCGGUGAAAUGCGUAGAUAUUAGGAGGAACACCAGUGGCGAAGGCGGUCUGCUGGACAGCAACUGACGGUGAGGCGCGAAAGCGUGGGGAGCAAACAGG